GAUGAACGCUGGCGGCGUGCCUAAUACAUGCAAGUCGAGCGAACAGACGAGGAGCUUGCUCCUCUGACGUUAGCGGCGGACGGGUGAGUAACACGUGGAUAACCUACCUAUAAGACUGGGAUAACUUCGGGAAACCGGAGCUAAUACCGGAUAAUAUAUUGAACCGCAUGGUUCAAUAGUGAAAGACGGUUUUGCUGUCACUUAUAGAUGGAUCCGCGCCGCAUUAGCUAGUUGGUAAGGUAACGGCUUACCAAGGCAACGAUGCGUAGCCGACCUGAGAGGUUGGUCGGCCACACUGGAACUGAGACACGGUCCAGACUCCUACGGGAGGCAGAAGUAGGGAAUCUACCGCAAUGGGAGAAAGCCUGACGGAGCAACGCCGCGUGAGUGAAGAAGGUCUUCGGAUCGUAAAACUCUGUUAUUAGGGAAGAACAAAUGUGAAAGUAACUAUGCACGUCUUGACGGUACCUAAUCAGAAAGCCACGGCUAACUACGUG
rnacentral:rRNA from 1 species